UGCGAGUGACAAAGUUUAAACCAGUGGCGAGUUGUUUUCUAUGCUGAGGAUGGUGGUAGUGAGUUACUUGCUACAGUAGAACAAGAAAAUUCUAACUUAUAAUAAUAUAGAAUUAACAUGUAAGAUAUUAAUCCGCAAAGAUUACUAGCACAAGGGAAGGACAAAACAGAAUGACUUCCAAUUCCAAUAAAAAGCAAAAAAUUGCUCACUGCAUUCCAAAAAGAGCUGUUUGCAUUCUUUGUGAAACCAACUAUGAAGAAGAGUUGAUGGUUGGAAAGUUCUUUCAUCAUGAUGAAUUCUCAAUACAUCAUUUCUGUAUGCUGUUAGCCAGUGGUCUGGAACAAAAAGGGCAAACUGACGAAGAUGGAAUUGUUGGGUUUUUGCCUGAAGACAUUUGGAUAGAAGUAAAGCGAGGAAGAAGACUGCGAUGUUUCUUUUGUAAAAAGACCGGGGCAACAGUGGGCUGCUGUAAUAAGAACUGUAGGAAAGUGUUUCAUGUGCCUUGUGCUUAUGGACGAGGUGUCCUUCACCAGUUUUUUGAUAAUUUUUCACCACAAGCCUAAACAAAACAUCUCAAAGAAAUCCAGUAUACUCUAUUCGUGCCCGAUCUGUCUGUAUUCUGUCAAUAACCAAGAUGUUGACAACGUCAUACUUUCUCCAUGCUGCAAAAAUUCGUUGUUUCACCGACAAUGUAUCCAGAUGCAGGCUUUAUGUGCUGGGUACUUCUUUAGGUGCCCCAUCUGCAAUAAUAAGGAAGACUUUCAAAAUGAAAUGCUUACAUAUGGUAUUUACAUACCUGAACA
rnacentral:misc_RNA from 1 species